AUGUCCUCUCAAUUUUCAUCAUCAUUGAUUAGGACUAGGAGGAAUCUCAAUCUGCUGCCUUUGAUUCGUCCCACAAGUAGAAGAAGGGUGAGUGCCAACCAACUGAGGAUGAUGAUGACGACGAAGAAGAAGAGAGAGCAGGGAGACCCCGAGAGUCGGGAGAACCACAAACCUCGUGGUGUUAACGAGCUUCAGCAACUCUUGCACAGCGACUCUACAGGUGGUGAUUGGGACAAGUGCUGGGAGCAAGGUCUCACCCCUUGGGAUUUAGGACAGCCAACUCCUGUUAUUGCUCAUCUUCAUAGGUUGGGAGCCCUUCCCAAGGGCAGGGCUCUUGUCCCUGGAUGCGGCACUGGUUAUGAUGUUGUAGAGAUUGCAUGCCCUGAACGCCAUGUUACCGGUUUAGACAUUUCACACAAUGCCAUUAACAAGGCCCUCCAGUUGUUUUCCUCACUACCCACUGCAAUGCAUUUUACCUUCUUAAAGGUGGACUUUUUUACCUGGCAUCCAACUGAAUUGUUUGAUCUCAUAUUUGAUUAUACGUUCUUCUGUGCUAUUGAACCAGACAUGAGAUCAGCAUGGGCACAAAAGAUGAGGGAUAUCUUAAAACCAGAUGGAGAGCUCAUAACACUAAUGUUUCCCAUCAGUGAUCAUCUUGGUGGACCCCCAUACAAAGUGUCAGUUUCAGAUUAUGAAGAGGUGUUGCAUCCCAUGGGCUUUAAAGCAAUCUCCAUCGUGGAUAAUCAUCUGGCUGUCCUACCUCGCAAGAUAAUCCCAUGUAGUAGCUUUUGCUGCUUUGCACUUUGUUUUGUCCAUGAAGUUUCACUCCAGGACGAGAGAAGCUAGGAAGGUGGAAGAGGCCUGCAAGUAAAUCCUCUCUAUGACAAGGGUUAUCACUCUCCUAAUUAAAGCAUCGAGUGGCCUCCAACUGAAAAUAGUGAAAUUUGAACUGGACAUUUAUGUAGUGAUUUUCAUUCCUCUUUGUUCGUCUAGAAUCCGGACAUGUAAGCCUGACUCUGGUAUUACCAUCAUCACUCAUUCUUCCUGAGAGUAGAUUAGUAGUUGCUGUUGACUCGAGAUCAUUUGAUAAAGAGGUCAGAAUGUACAGACGAGAACAAAUACGUUCUUCAAAUGUUAUAAUGAAGAGAUGGCAGUAUUAAGAACCGGAUAUCUUCUCCUCAUAUUUGGUUGCUAAACCCAAUAAUACUCUUCAAUAGAGACUCCUACAUA